rnacentral:lncRNA from 1 species
AGAGGCGGCAACGGCGACGGCAGCAAGCGGUCUCUAGAGCUGAGGAGCUGCUGCAGAAGAAAGAAGAAGCAGCGGCGUGGGGACCUGGGCGGCAGGAGCGAGCAAGAAGAGGAUGCGGAAGCGUGCAGAUGCGGGGGGGAAGGAGAGAGGCUCCCUGGGCAAAGCACCUGUCCCGUUAGCGGGGCCGCAGUCGCAUUUGAGUUGAGCGUUGCCGGCGCCUUUGGCGACCCGGCCGGCUUUGUGCUGGGCGACCUCCCUGUAAGCAGGGCUCGGGUCUUUGCUGUAGUUGGCCUUUUGCCUUGCUGCUCCUAGGGCUGCCUGGGGAGCGUGGCCCCCUGUAACGGAGGGCGAGAGCCACCUCUCCGCACCUGAGUGGGAAAUGGAGCUCGCCGGACCCCGAGGCCACCCUGUAAGCAGGGUAGUGCCGCUUCCCUGCCCCUCUUUGUCCUCCGGCCCCUCGGCAUCGUUGCCUGGUGGUGGCCUGUCAAUGCGACGGCCCCGUACUCGGGGUGCGCGCCACGGCAUUUGGCCUUUGGCUUUACCCGAGGAGCCCCUUGGCACGUUGAGGUCUGUGGCCUCCGUGCAGCCUAGGGACAGGUCACAGGCUCUUGUCUGUUGCUUGUGGUUGUGGGUUUAUUCCCAGGUGUUGGCUGCGCUGGGUUGUCCUUCCCUUCUGGAAAGUCGCGCCUGCGUGUGUGCGUUCCCCUUCCUUUCCUUGUUUGCGUUUGUGGAGCGACUGAGCGACUGAGCUUUCCCUUUAGGCCUCCCCAGAGACGGCUGCAGCUUAGCUUUGACUUCCCGGGGGGGAACGGAGGACUUUGGUGCAUGCCGCAAGAGGGGUGUUCCCUGCUAGUCCCGCGAGCGCAGCGAGUGUCCUGUCUUCCUCCUUUUUACUUAGUCCAGAUCAGAGCCACGCGGUAGUUGUGUGGCCGAGGCCGCCCUGUAGCCAGGGCUUGGGCCUGUCCUUGCGUGGCCGCCUGUUCUGCUGGCGGCGUGGCAGCCCUGUAGUCGGGGUGUGUGUCCCAAGCUUAGGAGCCCUCUGUCCCUUGAGCAGCCCGCCCGCCCGCCCUGUACUCAGGUGUGGGGAGGCUGCAGCGUUGCAGCCGGCUGCUUUAGCCAUCCAGCUGGUGGGAAUGACCCCUCCCUGUCCCGUCAGAGGGUGCAGGUUGAGGUGCUGCUUGCGUGUGGGGUGACCUCCCCGCUCGGUGGGUCGAGGCUGCUCCCUGGGUUCCCCAAGAGAAGACGUUGGUGAUGUUCUGCUGCUGCCGGGCGGGCCCGCCUGUAGCUCAGGCGUUGGCGGGAGCCUCGUGCUCCGCGGGGCUUCUUGGAGAGGGUGAGGUGCGGGGGUACGGUCCUGUAGGCAGGGCUGUGCGUGCCCCCCGUGUGUGCUUGGUGAGCUGUGUUCCGAGAGACCCCCCCCCCCCGGCCGUACUCGGGUGGGAAUGUGGCCCCGGCCUUUCAGAGGCACGGGGCUGCGAGGUGUGGGCUUGGGCUUGCGCCCUCCCUGGAAGUUGAGGCUGGGAUCCCGACUGCGGCCUUUGGCCGUGCCGCCCCGCUGCCUGGCUGCUGAGAGUUGUUCCUGCCGCUGGGGGGGAAACCGAGCUCUGUGGCUCCAGGGGUGUCGUCCACCCGCCUGUAAUCAGGGUCUGGGUGCGCGAGCGUUUGUGCUCUGCUGGCAGCCUGUGUGGGGUGACCGCCCCGUUAGCGGGGUGUGGGUCGAGGUGCCCCGGACUGGGAGAGAAGGAGCCUCUCCCGGCCGUAGGGAUGGGGGCUGCCCUGUAAGUCAGGGAGCAACCGUGCCCCGGAGUCCCAGGCCCUUUGCGUUGGAGGCAGUGGCUGGGGGCCCCCUGUAAGCAGGGAAGCUGGCUCUUUGGCCGCUGCUUUUUGUACGCCCAGCCCCAUUUGCCCAGCCUGCCCGCCUCUGUGAUCCCCCGCAGCACCGGCUGGAAGUCCGCCGCGCGUCAGUGAGGAGCUGCUGCAGAAGAAAGAAGAAGCAGCGGCGUGGGGACCUGGGC